AGAAUCAACGCUGGCGGCGUGCCUAACACAUGCAAGUCGAACGAGAAAGUGGUAGCAAUACCAUGAGUAAAGUGGCGCACGGGUGAGUAACACGUGACUAACCUACCCUGGAGUGGGGGAUAACUGAGGGAAACCUUAGCUAAUACCGCAUAACACCUACGGGUCAAAGGAGCAAUUCGCUUCAGGAGGGGUCGCGGCAGAUUAGCUAGUUGGCGGGUAAUGGCCCACCAAGGCAGUGAUCUGUA
rnacentral:rRNA from 1 species